rnacentral:rRNA from 1 species
CCUACGGGAGGCAGCAGUGAGGAAUAUUGGUCAAUGGGCGCGAGCCUGAACCAGCCAAGUCGCGUGAGGGAGGACGGCCCUACGGGUUGUAAACCUCUUUUGCCGGGGAGCAACGGGCGUCACGUGUGGCGCCACUGAGAGUAACCGGAGAACAAGCAUCGGCUAACUCCGUGCCAGCAGCCGCGGUAAUUCGGUGGAUGCGAGCGUUAUCCGGAUUUAUUGGGUUUAAAGGGUGCGUAGGCGGAUCGUUAAGUCAGUGGUCAAAUUGAGGGGCUCAACCCCUUCCCGCCAUUGAAACUGGCGAUCUUGAGUGGAAGAGAAGUAUGCGGAAUGCGUGGUGUAGCGGUGAAAUGCAUAGAUAUCACGCAGAACCCCGAUUGCGAAGGCAGCAUGCCGGCUUCCGACUGACGCUGAAGCACGAAAGCGUGGGGAUCGAACAGGAUUAGAUACCCUGGUAGUC